GGCUCGGUAGCUUAAAGGUAAAGCGCUCGUUUAGCAUGCAAGAGUCCUGGGUUCAAAUCCCAGCCAAGCAC
rnacentral:tRNA from 1 species